rnacentral:rRNA from 1 species
UACAGAGGGUGCAAGCGUUAAUCGGAAUUACUGGGCGUAAAGCGCACGUAGGUGGUCACUUAAGUCGGGUGUGAAAUCCCUCGGCUCAACCGAGGAAGUGCAUUCGAAACUAGCGGGCUAGAGUACUGAAGAGGGUCGCGGAAUUCCCGGUGUAGAGGUGAAAUUCGUAGAUAUCGGGAGGAACACCAGUGGCGAAGGCGGCGACCUGGGCAGAUACUGACGCUGAGGUGCGAAAGCGUGGGGAGCAAACAGG